UACGUAGGGGGCUAGCGUUGUCCGGAAUCAUUGGGCGUAAAGCGCGCGUAGGCGGCCCGGUAAGUCCGCUGUGAAAGUCAAAGGCUCAACCUUUGAAUGUCAGCGGAUACUGCCGGGCUAGAGUCCGGAAGAGGCGAGUGGAACUCCUGGUGUAGCGGUGGAAUGCGCAGAUAUCAGGAGGAGCACCAAUAGCGAAGGCAGCUCGCUGGGACGGUACUGACGCUAAGGCGCGAAAGCGUGGGGAGCGAACAGG
rnacentral:rRNA from 1 species